UUCAUCUCUGCUCCCCAGGCACCCAGAGGGGAGGGGUGGUGAGAGCAAGGUUUUUGUUUUUUGUUUUUCAAUCUUAGCCCACCCUGCCACCCCAGAAGAGUGUUUUAUCCACUCCUGCAGAGAGCCCUUAAUUGAACCGCUUGGAAAACAUCCGCAGAUGGACCUCAAGCUCAGGUGACAGCGCGGGCCUACAGCUGCAGCCACCAGAGGCACCGAGCGCUGGAUUUGGCGUUCUGCACAGAAAGUAAAUAACAAGUUAGACCCGGUUCUCAGCAGAGAAGAUGGAAGAACUUUUUCCUUCAGGAGUUGAAAGAAGAAAACCUUCCAUUUUGAGGACCUGCCCUCUGCUUCUAUGUGCGACCAGUUCCGGAGAAUCCUGUGGAAGUCUGACUCCCUGUCCCUCAGGUGCCUGGCACUGAGCUUGCCUUCAGCAACUAUUGUCUGGUGAGAGACUGAAGCCGUCUGGUUUCCAGAGAGACUCGAACCCAUUCCAAAGGAGAGACAGGUGCUUCUCAGCUCCCCUUUUGUGACAGCUCCGAAGUUUACCCGUGUGCCCUCAUGUCCCCACCCCAGUCAUGUACCCAGCCCAGAGCCAGGGUAAAAGCGCGCACGGCAGAGGCGUGUCUGGGAAGGGGGACAGGAGGCAGGCGCAGACGCUCUUCCAGCCCCACCCUGCCUCGGGCGGGCCCUCACCCACGGAGCCCACAUUGUGGAUUUUGCCCAGGCCUGACGUCUGAUUAGGUAGCGUCCACUUCUGGAAGAGCUGCUGAAAGACAGCUGACUCGGCCCCAUCGUUCUGCACCUCCACCUGUGUGUUCGGGGGGUACUGCUUCGCUUUGAUAAAGUUCUGGGAAGAGAAAGCGGUGGCUGGGUCUGUGUCCCUCUCUGAACCCCCAUAGCCCUCCAAUGCAAGUGACAGCCUGGCUCUAACCCCAACCAGACCCAACCACAAACCUACCCCAGGUCCCAAGCGCAAACUAGAACCCAACCCCAGUCCCAGUGCUGACCCAAAGCUAAGUAAGGCCUGCUCUGGCCUCAACCCCAAAACCAAAUGAGACCUCAGUUCUGACCCUGACCCCUAGCUGCCAUCUCCAACCUUGAGCCCAAUCCCCAUUCUCACUCUGACCCCAAGCCAGCUAGGGUUAUUGACUCCAACCCCAGUAAUGACCCCAAACUCUGACUUAGCCCCAGCCCCCUGCUGACCCGAUCCCCUCUUGUAAAAGGUCAGCUUCCAUUUCUCCCUCCUUUGUCUGAACUGAGCUUGGGGUGGGAGCUCACAUCCGGAGGAGGCCCCCAGGUUGCCUGUUGGUGGGCCCCUGGUGGCAGGCAGCGACCCCCGCAGGGGGCUACAGAGCAGACCCUCAGCACCCCCAGCUGGGCUGGGCCCAGAGCUUUGGAGGCCUCUGCCUGGUGGGACGCCCAGUCUGAUCCCCCUUCUUUCUCCCUGCUGUAUCUGUUUCUCUCCCCUUCCCCCUGCCGAUCCCCAUGCCCACCAGUGCCUGAUUCAUGGCCCCCAUCUUCUCCUGGGUGUUGGAGUUCUUCCCCUUCCACACAUAGAUCUUCAGGCCCCCCUGGUCCAGGAUAUAACAGUCCUACAGGUGGGAGAGA